rnacentral:rRNA from 1 species
UACGGGGGGGCAAGCGUUGUUCGGAAUUACUGGGCGUAAAGGGCUCGUAGGCGGCCAACUAAGUCAGACGUGAAAUCCCUUGGCUUAACCGGGGAACUGCGUCUGAUACUGGAUGGCUUGAAUCCGGGAGAGGGAUGCGGAAUUCCAGGUGUAGCGGUGAAAUGCGUAGAUAUCUGGAGGAACACCGGUGGCGAAGGCGGCAUCCUGGACCGGCAUUGACGCUGAGACGCGAAAGCGUGGGGAGCGAACAGG